rnacentral:rRNA from 1 species
CCUACGGGAGGCAGCAGUGAGGAAUAUUGGUCAAUGGACGAGAGUCUGAACCAGCCAAGUAGCGUGAAGGAUGACUACCCUAUGGGUUGUAAACUUCUUUUAUAUGGGAAUAAAAUGUUCCACGUGUGGGAUUUUGUAUGUACCAUAUGAAUAAGGAUCGGCUAACUCCGUGCCAGCAGCCGCGGUAAUACGGAGGAUCCGAGCGUUAUCCGGAUUUAUUGGGUUUAAAGGGAGCGUAGGUGGAUUGUUAAGUCAGUUGUGAAAGUUUGCGGCUCAACCGUAAAAUUGCAGUUGAAACUGGCAGUCUUGAGUACAGUAGAGGUGGGCGGAAUGCGUGGUGUAGCGGUGAAAUGCUUAGAUAUCACGAAGAACUCCGAUUGCGAAGGCAGUUCACUGGACUGCAACUGACACUGAGGCUCGAAAGUGUGGGUAUCAAACAGGAUUAGAUACCCGAGUAGUC